ACGCAUGAUACUGACAGAUGUAUGAAAAAAUCUAAUUUUCAGAGAGAUAAUAUAGAGGCUAAAGUUCUUGAGGACAGGUAAAAUCAACUGCUACAUACCAGUGGAUGCAGGAUGGGUGGACUUGAGCAUUCCGAUCACACCUUUACCGUGAUAACCAGCUCCACGCAAGAACAGGGCUCUCGUUCGAGGAUGGCGCCAUGUGAUGACAGGCACACGACUAUUUCGACUACUUUACUCACCUUCGACACAUCAUGUAAACCGAGUUAACGGUGGUGAUUUUGAACGGAUCCUUGCUCUUGCCAGAACUGCUGGAAGAGGUGAGUCCUAGGCGAGUCCAGUCGCGUACAUAGCUUCUCUCAGACAUGCGUUCAAGAGUUUGGCAUCCGUUGGCGAUGGAAGGAGUACACCCACACCUGCUCCCACUCCCACAUUCAUCUCGAAACUAUCAACUGAAAUGUACAAAGAAAAUUUAGAGCAGAGAAGAAACAAUCAUGAAAAUUUUUAGUUUUGCCCAAAAAGUUGGCAUGACACUAAAUCAACAAAGAAUGAAAUUACCUGGGAAAACUGCUUUGACUCUUAACCUUCUCAUAAUGUAAAAUUAUCUCAAUUUACUUCAUUUCACGGAGAUCGAACACUCUAUGCUAUUACUCCAUGUUCUUUCAGAUUCAUACCAGCACCUUUGACUCUUCUUCUAAAAAUGUAAUACAGUAAGACCUCGAUUUAUCGGAUUUCACGGGACCGGAGGCGAGUCCGUUAAAUCGCGGAAUUCGCUAAAUCGCGCUAGUCGGUCCCGUUGAAGGGACCGGAGGAUCGAUCCGUUAAAUCGCGGAAUCCGUUAAAUCGCGAUCCGAUAAUUCGAGGUCUUACUGAAUUAAAACAGUACAACUGACUAACAUACAUUGCAGAGAGGUUCCAUAUAACUAGUAUCAAGACCAAGUUUGAUUAAUGCUUUUGUUCUAGGUUUUUAAUAAUUUUAUGAUUUCCCCUCUCUGCUUUCUCAUAUAAAUGUGUGUGUCUCGUAUCUGUAGGGUUGGAAAUGAAUUUUCCCCUUUUAUGAUUUUUUCAGUUGUCUAUCUCAUCUUUUAACCAAAAAUCAAGAGUUUAUUACAUCUUAAAUCCAUGUUAUGCCCCCUAGCCAUCUUGUUACUUUUUCUUGUAAACUUUCGUUAAUGGGCUUGCCCGGGAAUUCGUAAAUAAAUACAUAAAUAAAAAAUCAAUUGAAUAAUUGAUUAUUUAAGUAAAUAGUUUUGUAAGUUUACCUGACAAAUCAUCUGGAUCAGUAAACGGAAGACUCAUGCGACCUGGCGAUGUUGAAUACUUAUUGGGGUUGAUAUUAUUUCCCAUAUUUGGCAAGACAUACUUUUGUCGCUUUGAUGAUGUUUUCUGCUUAAAGCCAGCUUUCCGUGCUGUUUUCAUUAGGGUUUUCUUGGCGAAUCCUCUGUAAAAUACAGAACAUUGUUUCAUCAUGUGAACUAAAUUUAAAUUACAGAAUAUUUUGUGAGUUACAACUCGAAAGAUUUAUGUCAAGUGAACAUA
rnacentral:lncRNA from 1 species